rnacentral:rRNA from 1 species
GUGGCAGCAGCCGCGGUAAAACCAGCACCUCAAGUGGUCAGGAGGAUUAUUGGGCCUAAAGCAUCCGUAGCCUGUUCUAUAAGUUUCCGGUUAAAUCCAUUAGCUCAACUAAUGGGCCGCCGAAAAUACUGUAGAACUAGGGAGUGGGAGAGGUAGACGGUAUUCGGUAGGAAGGGGUAAAAUCCUUUGAUCUAUUGAGGACCACCUGUGGCGAAGGCGGUCUACCAGAACACGUUCGACGGUGAGGGAUGAAAGCUGGGGGAGCAAACCGGAUUAGAUACCCGGGUAGUCCCAGCUGUAAACGAUGCAGACUCGGUGAUGCGCUGGCUUGUGGCCAGUGCAGUGCCGCAGGGAAGCCGUUAAGUUUGCCGCCUGGGAAGUACGUACGCAAGUAUGAAACUUAAAGGAAUUGGCGGGGGAGCACCACAAGGGGUGAAGCCUGCGGUUCAAUUGGAGUCAACGCCAGAAAUCUUACCCGAAGAGACAGCAGAAUGAAGGUCAAGCUGGAGACUUUACCAGACAAGCUGAGAAGUGGUGCAUGGCCGUCGCCAGCUCGUGCCGUGAGAUGUCCUGUUAAGUCAGGUAACGAGCGAGAUCCCUGCCUCUAGUUGCCACCAUUACUCUCAGGAGUAGUGGGGCGAAUUAGCGGGACCGCCGCAGUUAAUGCGGAGGAAGGAAGGGGCCACGGCAGGUCAGUAUGCCCUGAAACUUUGGGGCCACACGCGGGCUGCAAUGGUAGUGACAAUGGGUUCCGAAUCCGAAAGGAGGAGGCAAUCCUCAAACGCUACCACAGUUAUGAUUGAGGGCUGUAACUCGCCCUCAUGAAUAUGGAAUCCCUAGUAACUGCGUGUCAUUACCGCGCAGUGAAUACGUCCCUGCUCCUUGCACACACCGCCCGUC